GGAAUUUUUAGAACCUUAUGGCAAGUUUUAUUAAAAAUUAUUUCAGAACGAUUAAUUGGGUCAUGUUUGGUUAGCCUAAUGUUUUAAUUAAUGUAUUAUAACAUUAUAAAUAUAAAUAUGAGCCCCUUAAGCCCAUUUGAGCUCAUCAUUACCCAUUUUGAGUGCAAAAAUCUGAGGAAUUAUUUUAGAGAGAGAGAGAGUGCAAUUAUAGAGAGAGAAAGGAAGAGAUUAAGGAGAAAUUGAAGAUUUUGCUUGAGUUCAUCAGUUUUGUACAAGAAUUUAGCUAAUUGAAGACUCUAGGUCAAAACUCAAGGAUUGAUUGACCAUUGCUGGAACCAUUGUGAGCAUUCUGGAGUUCAAGCCUGAAGGCUUUUGUUCGGAUCUGUAUGUCUGUUGUCAGCCAACUACUGCGCCUCACGUGGAGGUUCCCGAAGUGUCCUAUGUUCAGUCUUUUGGGUCCUGUUUAUGUAUAAGACUUGAUUUAAUGUUGUUGGCUGUACUUAAAAUACUGUAAUGUGUGCGGGUAUAACGUAUGGUUGACCACCGGAUAUGUAUAUAAAGUUUUAAUUAUUAUGUUUCAUAUAA